AAAUCCGCUAAACACCACAUCAAGCGUGGGU
rnacentral:sRNA from 1 species